UCCGCGUCUCGCGGACGGUACUGCGCGAAGCGAUGAAGACGCUUGCCGCCAAGGGCAUGAUCGUACCGCGCGCCCGGAUC
rnacentral:tRNA from 1 species